CUAAUUUUGUGAUGCUCUUUCAAGCUGUAAUGAAAUUUUUGUUGAGAUCAAAAUUUAGUCUAUUACGCAAAUGGUCAAUUGUGAAUGAUUUGCACACACGAUUUUUCGGAACUUUUCAAGCUCUGUGACAUGAAUAGCUUCUAUAUAAAGGUUGCAGUGGCGAAGCAUUGGAACCGAAACGGCCUGUGGUUGUCUGUGGUUCUACGUUCGUCCAAUGGCAAUGCCGCGUAAAAAUAGCCAUAACGCUUCAUGCAUUAAUUAUAUCCUUGAGAUUAGUACCGUAAUUAAUUAAAUAUAGUCUAUAUAAUUUAUCAAUGAAUGAAUGUCUGUCAUUUUAUUACAACAACUUGCGCGUUUUUACAUGUAUAGAGUUAAGACACCUCGCGCAAUUGUGAAUGAUUUGCACACACGAUUUUUCAGAACUUUUCAAGCUCUGUGACAUGAAUAGCUUCUAUAUAAAGGUUGUAGUGGCCGAAACGGCCUGUGGUUGUCUGUGGUUCUACGUUCGUCCAAUGGCAAUGCCGCGUAAAAAUAGCCAUAACGCUUCAUGCAUUAAUUAUAUCCUUGAGAUUAGUACCGUAAUUAAUUAAAUAUAGUCUAUAUAAUUUAUCAAUGAAUGAAUGUCUGUCAUUUUAUUACAACAACUUGCGCGUUUUUACAUGUAUAGAGUUAAGACACCUCGCGCAAUUGUGAAUGAUUUGCACACACGAUUUUUCAGAACUUUUCAAGCUCUGUGACAUGAAUAGCUUCUAUAUAAAGGUUGUAGUGGCCGAAACGGCCUGUGGUUGUCUGUGGUUCUACGUUCGUCCAAUGGCAAUGCCGCGUAAAAAUAGCCAUAACGCUUCAUGCAUUAAUUAUAUCCUUGAGAUUGGUAUCGUAAUUAAUUAAAUAUAGUUUAUAUAAUUUAUCAAUGAAUGAAUGUCUGUCUUUUAUUAGAAGUUGAAUUUUAUAAUAUACUGAAAUCACACGCUGAUUAUUUGAGAAUCGUUUUUACGAACUAUUAUAUUUUAGAUAUAUUAUUAUUUAGAAAGAAAUACUGAAUGAUUAAAAUCCCUAAAAAUGUUACCAAAAUUUUAC